GUCCAUGCUGUCAAAUAUGAAUACUAAUAUUGGGAUUUUUCUGAUAUAAAGCUAACGCGUUAAGUAUUCCGCCUGAGAAGUAUGAUCGCAAGAUUGGAACUCAAAGGAAUUGACGGGGGUCUACACAAGUGGUGGAGCAUGUGGUUUAAUGCGAUAACACGCGCGAAAAUCUUACCAGUUCUUGAAUAUAUUUAAUUAAUAAUUUUAUUUUAUUAAUAUUAAAAAAUUUAAGAAAUUUUAUAAU
rnacentral:rRNA from 1 species